CUUUCUGCAUUUGUUACUUGGGCUGUGCGAGCAUCCUUUGGAAAAAGAGGGAAGAUCAGGAUCGCUGUCUAUCAGAUUGUCAGCCUCUCUUCCUGGUGUCCCACCCGCAGUCUCCCAGACAGAUUUGUUUGCUACCUGAGCCCCUCUGCAGUGAGCAACCUGAGCAGGGAUGAUUCUUUGAGCUUGGCCCAGAGGAUCAGUAAGAGCUGCACCUUGAACACAACGCUCGGAAAAAUAAAAGGAAAAGGAGCUCCUUCCUUCCUGACAACAGAGGAACUGCAGGCUGUAUCUUCUUUGUUGGGGAACGUUGAGCGUUUCACUCCUGCGGUGCUGCGGGUGUUGGGCCAGAUUGCUGUUGGGCUGUCUGUUUCUGACAUCGAAAAUAAGAUCAGUGGGGAAGACCUGGAAGCAUCAAUUCCUACCCUGGGUAAAGUUCGUGGCUGGAAUGCUGACCAGUCCAGUGCUAUUAUCAACAAACUGCUCAGCUCUGGCUAUCAGAUUUCUUCUGGACAGAGCUUGGCAAAGCUAGGGAGCUUGGUGGCUGGCCUCAACAGCAGCACGCUUCGAAGCCUGCCUCCAGAAGUGAUCUUGGAAGCCAUUAAGUUGCCUGAGUUUGUUCAGCAAAUAGCAGCCCUGCCCUCUCCUCUGAAGAGGAUAUUUGUGGAAAAGAUUUCUUCCAGUGUAAGCAAUCCAGCUGACCUGGUUAAACUUAUCCCUGGUGCUCUGGCCAGUUACAUUCCAAAAUCAUUGCUUAUUUUUGAGGAUGAGAAGCUCAGCAUUGAGGAUCUCAACAGUAAAAUGUGGACCCGAGAGCAGGCUGCCAUGUUUUUCAGAGAUGUGAUAAAGACAGAGCCUGACUUCAGCAGGCUUUCCCAGUCAGUCCUUCAAGGCUACACAUGUGCAGUUGCCAAUGAAAUGGAACCAGAGAGAGUUCAGGAGCUGGCCAAAGUCAUGAAGAAGAAGAAUGUCAAGCUAGGAGCAGACCAGCUGAGUUGCUUAGUGAAGAUGGUGAUGCUGCGUGGGAUUCCUAAGGACUUGGAUAGUUAUCCUAAAGACCUGUUGCUAUUUUUAAGGUAAAUUUGCUAUCAUUUUUCAUCUUGUUGCUUUAGUCCUGAA
rnacentral:lncRNA from 1 species